UUAAUUUCUUCUCUGUGUGAAAUAGUUACACUGAUGUUUAUUGUUAUUCUGCCAGAUGACUUCCAUCAUCUCACCUAUUUCAGAGAUGGCUUCCUUAUUUCGGAACUUUUUUACGAAAUCUGUUUUAGAGGACUUCUAGUUCUGGGAAGUAAUUCAGAAAAAUUUUACCUUCAGGUUCAUGAGGACUGGACUGUUCUCUCUAUAAUACUAUAUUUCUGUACUAUGAAGUGGAAUUGAAACCAAGUAAUAAAAAACAGAAGUUGUUCGUACAAGCUA